CAUGGCUCUUGCUAAACCAGAUGAUUGACUAACAGUUUUAAAAAUAGUGUCCCAAGCUUUUAGGGUAAUUUUGGUAGUAGGAAACAUAUCAGAAUUUUUGGGGCGUUUAUUUGGAGGUAACUAUAAAAUGUCUUUAAUUGAAAUGGGGUUUAUUUUAUCUGACUCCAUCUCCAGCCAUCUUGGUUUGUUGAAGUGUAUAUUCAAUUUAUUAGCGGUGGCAGCAUUUGUUGAUGUAUAAUAUUUACGAAAGUUUGGAACUCCUAAU